GCCGGGGUGGCCGAGAUCGGACCAAGGUGCCCGCCUUGAGAGCGGGUGGCCCUCCGGGCCGCGAGGGUUCAAAUCCCUCCCCCGGCG
rfam:Candidatus Korarchaeum cryptofilum OPF8, complete genome.